rnacentral:rRNA from 1 species
ACCCUUUAAUGUUUGAUGUUCUAACGUGGACCCGUAAUCCGGGUUGCGGACAGUGUCUGGUGGGUAGUUUGACUGGGGCGGUCUCCUCCUAAAGAGUAACGGAGGAGCACGAAGGUUGGCUAAUCCUGGUCGGACAUCAGGAGGUUAGUGCAAUGGCAUAAGCCAGCUUGACUGCGAGCGUGACGGCGCGAGCAGGUGCGAAAGCAGGUCAUAGUGAUCCGGUGGUUCUGAAUGGAAGGGCCAUCGCUCAACGGAUAAAAGGUACUCCGGGGAUAACAGGCUGAUACCGCCCAAGAGUUCAUAUCGACGGCGGUGUUUGGCACCUCGAUGUCGGCUCAUCACAUCCUGGGGCUGAAGUAGGUCCCAAGGGUAUGGCUGUUCGCCAUUUAAAGUGGUACGCGAGCUGGGUUUAGAACGUCGUGAGACAGUUCGGUCCCUAUCUGCCGUGGGCGCUGGAGAACUGAGGGGGGCUGCUCCUAGUACGAGAGGACCGGAGUGGACGCAUCACUGGUGUUCGGGUUGUCAUGCCAAUGGCACUGCCCGGUAGCUAAAUGCGGAAGAGAUAAGUGCUGAAAGCAUCUAAGCACG